rnacentral:rRNA from 1 species
AUGAACGCUGGCGGCGUGCCUAAUACAUGCAAGUCGAGCGAACAGACGAGGAGAUUGCUCCUCUGACGUUAGCGGCGGACGGGUGAGUAACACGUGGAUAACCUACCUAUAAGACUGGGAUAACUUCGGGAAACCGGAGCUAAUACCGGAUAAUAUAUUGAACCGCAUGGUUCAAUAGUUAAAGACGGUUUUGCUGUCACUUAUAGAUGGAUCCGCGCCGCAUUAGCUAGUUGGUAAGGUAACGGCUUACCAAGGCAACGAUGCGUAGCCGACCUGAGAGGGUGAUCGGCCACACUGGAACUGAGACACGGUCCAGACUCCUACGGGAGGCAGCAGUAGGGAAUCUUCCGCAAUGGGCGAAAGCUUGACGGAGCAACGCCGCGUGAGUGAUGAAGGUCUUCGGAUCGUAAAACUCUGUUAUUAGGGAAGAACAAAUGUGUAAGUAACUAUGCACGUCUUGACGGUACCUAAUCAGAAAGCCACGGCUAACUACGUG